rnacentral:rRNA from 1 species
CACGUAGUUAGCCGUGGCUUUCUGAUUAGGUACCGUCAAGACGUGCACAGUUACUUACACAUUUGUUCUUCCCUAAUAACAGAGUUUUACGAUCCGAAGACCUUCAUCACUCACGCGGCGUUGCUCCGUCAGGCUUUCGCCCAUUGUGGAAGAUUCCCUACUGCUGCCUCCCGUAGGAGUCUGGACCGUGUCUCAGUUCCAGUGUGGCCGAUCACCCUCUCAGGUCGGCUACGUAUCGUUGCCUUGGUAAGCCAUUACCCCACCAACUAGCUAAUACGGCGCGGGUCCAUCUAUAAGUGAUAGUAAAACCAUCUUUCACUUUAGAACCAUGCGGUUCUAAAUAUUAUCCGGCAUUAGCCCCGGUUUCCCGGAGUUAUUCCAGUCUUAUAGGUAGGUUACCCACGUGUUACUCACCCGUCCGCCGCUAACGUCAAAGGAGCAAGCUCCUUAUCUGUUCGCUCGACUUGCAUGUAUUAGGCACGCCGCCAGCUUCAUCCUGACGCCAGGACUCAAACUCUA